AAUAAUAAUUGAACGAACCCUAGACCAGACUUGAACCAAGACAAGCCCAGUCUGUUUCUAGACUGGCGUCAUAGCUUGGGCUUAACGUAAAAAAUGCUGGGAGUGAAACAAGAGGGAGCCUAUGUUGGACCUCACCGUUGAACCAAGCUGAACUUUCCCAGCCCCUUUUCGGAUCCACAGACAAGACAUCAUCAUAAUCAUUGAUUAUCUGAAUUUAAUUGGAAGACUGUCACUGCACUAUGGACCCUCAGAACGACAUCGGUACCACGAAGAUUUAAAAUUAAUAUCAAUAAUCCCUUGUCAUUAAAAAUUUUACGAUUGAAAUUGAAAAAUGAAGAGUCAACAGUUUCACACUGAGGACAAUGUGGUGGCAAAUUUUUGUUGACACAAAAUUGUAAACUUCAGCAUCUUUGCAUUCAACCUCGAUUUCAA